ACAAAUGACUUAUUUGUGGAGACCGUUUAUUAGGAACAGGUAAAAAUGGCCCACAGUAGGAGGUGAUGAUGUAUAAGGUGCAUGUUUUGACUUGUUCAAAACUGAUGCAUUUUAUUUUUCACAAAUAAGCCUUUAUUAAGGGUGCAUGUUAGAAAAGUGUUUAAACUAAUGCAUUUAUAUGCCUUUAUUAAGGGUGCAUGUUAGAAAAGUGUUUAAACUAAUGCGUUUAUAAGCCUUUAUUAAGGGUGCAUGUUAGAAAAGUGUUUAAACUAAUGCGUUUAUAAGCCUUUAUUAAGGGUGCAUGUUAGAAAAGUGUUUAAACUAAUGCGUUUAUAAGCUUUUAUUAAGGGUGCAUGUUAGAAAAGUGUUUAAACUAAUGCGUUUAUAAGCCUUUAUUAAAGGUGAACGUUAGAAAAGUGUUUAAACUAAUGCGUUUAUAAGCCUUUAUUAAAGGUGAACGUUAGAAAAGUGUUUAAACUAAUGCGUUUAUAAGCCUUUAUUAAGGAUGAACGUUAGAAAAGUGUUUAAACUAAAGUGUUUAUAAGCUUUUAUUGAGGGGUGCAUGUUAGAAAAGUGUUUAAACUAAUGCGUUUAUAAGCCUUUAUUAAGGGUGCAUGUUAGAAAAGUGUUUAAACUAAAGCGUUUAUAAGCCUUUAUUAAGGGUUGCAUGUUAGAAAAGUGUUUAAACUAAAGCGUUUAUAAGCCUUUAUUAAGGGUUGCAUGUUAGAAAAGUGUUUAAACUAAAGCGUUUAUAAGCUUUUAUGAAGGGUGCAUGUUAGAAAAGUGUUUAAACUAAUGCGUUUAUAAGCCAUUAUUAAGGGUGCAUGUUAGAAAAGUGUUUAAACUAAUGCGUUUAUAAGCCUUUAUUAAGGGUGAACGUUAGAAAAGUGUUUAAACUAAAGUGUUUAUAAGCUUUUAUUAAGGGGUGCAUGUUAGAAAAGUGUUUAAACUAAUGCAUUUAUAAGCCUUUAUUAAGGGUGCAUGUUAGAAAAGUGUUUAAACUAAUGCGUUUAUGAGCCUUUAUUAAGGGUGAACGUUAGAAAAGUGUUUAAACUAAAGUGUUUAUAAGCUUUUAUUAAGGGGUGCAUGUUAGAAAAGUGUUUAAACUAAAGCGUUUAUAAGCCUUUAUUAAGGGUACAUGUUAGAAAAGUGUUUAAACUAAUGCGUUUAUAAGCCAUUAUUAAGGGUGCAUGUUAGAAAAGUGUUUAAACUAAUGCGUUUAUAAGCCUUUAUUAAGGGUGAACGUUAGAAAAGUGUUUAAACUAAAGUGUUUAUAAGCUUUUAUUAAGGGGUGCAUGUUAGAAAAGUGUUUAAACUAAUGCGUUUAUAAGCCUUUAUUAAGGGUGCAUGUUAGAAAAGUGUUUAAACUAAAGCGUUUAUAAGCCUUUAUUAAGGGGUGCAUGUUAGAAAAGUGUUUAAACGAAUGCGUUUAUAAGCCUUUAUUAAGGGGUGCAUGUUAGAAAAGUGUUUAAACUAAUGCGUUUAUAAGCCUUUAUUAAGGGGUGCGUGUUAGAAAAGUGUUUAAACUAAUGCGUUUAUAAGCCUUUAUUAAGGGUGCAUGUUAGAAAAGUGUUUAAACUAAUGCAUUUAUAAGCCUUUAUUAAGGGUGAAUGUUAGAAAAGUGUUUAAACUAAAGUGUUUAUAAGCUUUUAUUAAGGGUUGCAUGUUAGAAAAGUGUUUAAACUAAUGCGUUUAUAAGCCUUUAAGGGGUGCGUGUUAGAAAAGUGUUUAAACUAAUGCAUUUAUACGUUCUUAUUAAGGUUGCAUGUUAGAAAAGUGUUUAAACUAAUGCGUUUAUAAGCUUUUAUUAAGGGGUGCAUGUUAGAAAAGUGUUUAAAUGAAUGCGUUUAUAAGCCUUUAUUAAGGGGUGCGUGUUAGAAAAGUGUUUAAUGCAUUUAUACGUUCUUAUUAAGGUUGCGUGUUAGAAAAGUGUUUAAACUAAAGCGUUUAUAAGCUUUUAUGAAGGGUGAACGUUAGAAAAGUGUUUAAACUAAAGUGUUUAUAAGCUUUUAUUAAGGGGUGCAUGUUAGAAAAGUGUUUAAACUAAUGCGUUUGUAAGCCUUUAUUAAGGGUGCAUGUUAGAAAAGUGUUUAAACUAAAGCGUAUAUAAGCUUUUAUGAAGGGUGCAUGUUAGAAAAGUGUUUAAACUAAUGCGUUUAUAAGCCUUUAUUAAGGGGUGCGUGUUAGAAAAGUGUUUAAACUAAUGCAUUUAUAAGCUUUUAUUAAGGGGUGCAUGUUAGAAAAGUGUUUAAACUAAAGUGUUUAUAAGCUUUUAUUAAGGGUGCGUGUUAGAAAAGUGUUUAAACGAAUGUGUUUAUAAGCUUUUAUUAAGGGUGCAUGUUAGAAAAGUGUUUAAACUAAUGAGUUUAUAAGCUUUUAUUAAGGGUGCAUGUUAGAAAAGUGUUUAAACGAAUGUGUUUAUAAGCUUUUAUUAAGGGUGCGUGUUAGAAAAGUGUUUAAACUAAUGCGUUUAUAAGCUUUUAUUAAAGGUGCAAUAUGUAACAAUUUUCAUGUAAUAUUAGCCCUUUUUUUGCCAAUGUGUGAACGGCUUGUAACGCAACUUAAAAAAAUGAGCCCUUCCCGGACUUCCUAGGUUGCCUAUUAAAGCCUGUAGUCUGAUUUUCAUGCGAAGGGAGUGGGUCGCCAAAACUCUACUUGCUACACACCCCUGUGAAUACUUUAACCUGUUAAUAAGGUCAAAAUAAACAUGCGCUGCUCAUACGGUCUGUGUGAAACAGGCUUUCUAUUUUUCAGACAGGAAAUAUAAAUGUGGCUUUAUAA